GAUGAACGCUGACAGAAUGCUUAACACAUGCAAGUCCACUUGAAUUUGGGUUUUUAACUUCGGUUUGGGUGGCGGACGGGUGAGUAACGCGUAAAGAACUUGCCUCACAGCUAGGGACAACAUUUGGAAACGAAUGCUAGUACCUAAUAUUAUGAUAAUAGGGCAUCCUAUAAUUAUGAAAGCUAUAAGCGCUGUGAGAGAGCUUUGCGUCCCAUUAGCUAGUUGGAGAGGUAACGGCUCACCAAGGCGAUGAUGGGUAGCCGGCCUGAGAGGGUGAUCGGCCACAAGGGGACUGAGACACGGCCCUUACUCCUACGGGAGGCAGCAGUGGGGAAUAUUGGACAAUGGACCGAGAGUCUGAUCCAGCAAUUCUGUGUGCACGAUGAAGUUUUUCGGAAUGUAAAGUGCUUUCAGUUGGGAAGAAACAAAUGACGGUACCAACAGAAGAAGUGACGGCUAAAUACGUG
rnacentral:rRNA from 1 species